GGACGGUUUGUGGAAGUCAUUUUGUGACGCAGCAGUCGCAACCAGCCAUCUUAAUGUUACAUUCGUCGGAAAUGGAAUGGAAUACGUGUUGCAGCGAUUGGAAUAUCAUACUUUUAAGGAAAAUAAAGCACGAAUCGUCUGUAAUUGGCACUUGAUAUUGUCAUUGUAUUAGAGAACAGUUAGCAAACCUGCUGAUAAAUUUACAUCAAGGGAAGCGGAAGAUUGAUUAAAAAUGUCCACCAAAUACUGCAGCAGUAUCAUCUUUAUGAAGAAAGUGUGCAAGGUAGGAUUAGUGUAGCAUACAGUUUAGAAAGCAGGAAUGCGUUUAUCUAUGGUAAAAAAUUCUGGGUAAUCUGGCGAUGGAGUUGAAUAUCUGAAUUAAUUUAAAAAAUUU